GUUCAGUUCCUCGUCGAACUUCAAAGCGUUUGGGGCUCACAACCGGUGGAAGGAACGUCCGAGCGAGUCGAACAGGCCAAUAGCCCAGAAAACUGUGAAGGCGGGCGCGAACAAGUGAGCCGUAGCCAGCCCCGAAGUAGCCGAGUGAAGUGGGGAGAGAAGAGUCGAAACGGCAGACGAAAUACAAGUGAAAAGUGAAAGAAAUUGUUGAAAAUUGCCGAAAUAUCCGAAACUCAUACAAAAAUAUACACCCGAGAGCUGCUGGCGGCUGAAUCGAAAGGAUAAACUUUUGGCACGCUAUGCCCACGACGACCCGUCGGGGUCCAAGCGGGCAAAUUCGCAUUGGCAUACUCACAUAGAACAGAAGUACAUUCGAGGCUGAAGCUGAGGUCGAACAUGUGCCAAGGCCUUCGAGGGCUGUUUCGAAUUGCGACGGGAGCCACGAUGCUGCCUGAUUUUGACCAAGUCAAGUAAACCAAGUCAAGAACACACGCACGCCUAGACCCGUACAAUCACAAGCGAACAAAAAACAAACAAGACUUUUGCCGAAAAUGGCCGCGCCCAUCGACGAGAGUGUGCUGAACGCACUGAAGGGGGUGACCUCCAAGCAGACCCGCCUGCCCAAGCCGCUGCUCAUCAAGAUCUAUGUCGCCAGCCAGAAGCAGGAGUUCAACCAGGAGCGCCGCAUGCUCCUCGAGCUGGUGGGCCCCGAGCUGCAGGGCCUCUACGACGACCGCCAAAUCGAGUUGGAGUUCGUGGACAUGCACUUCGGCACUGGGGCGCUGGAGGUGAACCAGCUGGAGCGGGAUCCCUAUCUGCUGCAGGACUACCUGCACGAGAUCGACACCUGUCAUGCCCACACGAAGAGCGUCUUCUUUCUGGCGCUCAUCGGCGACGGCCUCGGACGCCUGCCGCUGCCCACGCGCCUGGAUGAGGACAUCUAUGCCGCGGUGCUGGCCGACCCUCAGACAACGGCCGACCAGGAGGCUCUUCUAGCCAGGUGGUACGAGAUGGAUCCAUCCAAGGUGCAGCGUCAGCUGAAGCAGGACUAUCGAGUACUGCCCAUGGACGAGUGGCUCAGCGAGUCCCAGCAGAUGCAAAAGAUGCUGGAGCAGGCGCUGCAAGGCUUUGUCCAAGGACCAGGUGCCUCGGCGCGAUCUGCAGACUUCCUGAAGCGGGUGCAGCAGCUGAGGCGCACGCAGAUCGAACGCGAAGUGGAGCAGGCCAUGGCCCUCUCCAGCGAGAAGAUCCUCGCCGUGUUUCGGGAACGGGCCGCCCAGUGCAGCAAGCGGGAUGUGGAGGCCAAUGAGCGGCUUCGGAAGAUCAAGGACGAGCUCACCAUGAACCUCUCCACGGACAAUCACACAACCCUAGUGGUGCCAGGCAGUGCCUCGUGCGAAAUGAUCGACCCGGACAACGAGGACCACGAGUCCUAUCUCAGCAAAUUCAAGAACAAAGUCACCGACAAGCUGCGUCUGCUAAUCGAGGCGCACAUCACCAAUGAUCCCGAUGUAAUCAAGGGGAGGAAAAAGACUGUUCAGGAAAUCUUUCACGAGCACGCCACUCACCUGCGCAUCCUGCGCGAUCAUGUGGAGGGGGCGGCCCUCAUCGAGUCGCGGGUGCCACCGCAGCUGCGCCAGAACCUGAUGGCGAACUUCAGGAACGGCAGCCGGCAUGCGCCGUACUUCAUUUGCGGCUCGGAUGGCAGCGGCAAGAGCGCCCUGAUCAGCACCCUGUACGGGCAGGUGGCCAGCUGGUUCGUCUCGACGAAGGUCCACCGCGUGAUCCGCUUCGCCAAGGCCACGCCGCGCUCGGCCUACAACCUGGAGCUGCUGCGCGUGAUCUGCCAGCAGAUAUCGAUCAUCUUCAACAUCCCCGAGGGCUACCUACCCAAGGACGCCUCCUUCGAUCCGCUGUACAUCAGCACCUGGUUCCAGAACCUGCUGCGGCGCGUCGAGGACAUGAGCAACGACGUGCUGUUCCUGUUCAUCGACGACCUGCACCUGCUGAACCCCCUGGACUGCGACAUCGUGACCGCCCUCUCCUGGCUGCCCACCUCGCUGCCCUGGAACGUGCAGAUCAUCUGCAGCUCCACCACCCCCGUCGAGCAGCUCAAGUUCACGCCCAUGCAGCGGGACCGCUUCAAGUCGGCGGAGUACCAGUUCGACCUCAACCUGGGCGAGUACGCCACGGAGCUGCGGCGACCUCCGCAGUGCGUCUCGGACGUCAGCUUCGUCCUGUACGUGGAGCAGCAGUUCGACGGCCUGGAGCGCCACUACGGCAGGCAGGCGGUGGGCAGCCUGGCCGCCUACAUCACCUGCUCCGAGUACGGGCUGAGCGAGACGGAGCUCCUGGAGCUGCUCAUGCCCACCGACGAUCCCGAGUCCCUGAUCGACACCAGAAGCGGACACUUUAGCUUCGCCACCUUCAAGAAGAUCCACAGAGAAAUGGACAAGCUCCUGCUGCUGCACGACAAGAUCAUGUCCGGCAAGGUGCUCAUCCAGUGGCGCCACAACUACUGCGCCGUGGUGGCCAAGCGACGGUACAUGGGCGGUCAGAGGACGCGCAACCUGCACAUGGAGCUGGCCAACCUGUUCUUCCCGCAGGACGAGGACGAGAGCACGCUGGAGAACGAGUCCACCCAGAGCGAGAACAAGUCCGUGAUCAGCCUCAAGGACACGCUCAGGACAGUCUGCGACCUGCCGCACAAGGACAGGGAGCGCGAGAAGGACAACGUCUCCGCUGGCCGCAAGUCCUCCUCCACCCACCACAACGACGACACCUCCACCUUCUACAACCCCAUCGCCGCCGACGUCAGCUACAGCAUGCGGCACGUGGAGGAGAGCUGGCACCACCUGAUGCGCUCCGACGACACGACACGCUUCAAGCAAAUCGCAGUCUGCAACUUUGAUUUCCUGCUGGCGGCGGUACAAACUGUGUCGAUCAGCUAUUUGCGCUGCCUGAUCGAGCACGUCCGCUGCUAUAUCCUCGACAGGGACAUCGAGCUGAUCUACUACACGAUCCGCAAGUCCAGCGACGUGCUCACGCGCGACCCCAUGCAGCUGGGCUCCCAGCUGAUCUCCUGGCUGCGUCCGAUCAGCGAGCACGACGACGACGACAACUCGCUGCUCAGCAUGACGGUGCGCUCGGCGACGGCCUGGUGCGAUGGCUACGCCGUGCCGCUGCUGGUGCCGCUCACGGGAUGGCUGCCGGCACCGCUGCCCUCGCAGAUCCGCACCAUGACGGUGUCGGGCACGGGCGUCAUCCGAGCCGUCUGCCUGGCGCCCUCGAGGCAGCACCUCAUCCUGGCCACCAGCUCGGGCGAGGUGCAGCAGUGGCACAUCAUGAGCAACUCGCUGGAACACAUCUUCAAGGGACACACUGCGGCAGUCACGUGCCUGCUGGUGGCUCCGACCAGCGAGCCGGAGCUCCUCCUCACCGGCUCCGAGGACACCAGCGUGCUCGUCUGGCACGUCUCGCAGCGCGACCGUCGGGCGCACAUCAACGCCCACACAGCCCCCAUAACGGGCGUGGCGGCCGGGGUCAAUAACACGCUGAUCAUCAGCAGCAGCGAGGAUGCCACAAUCGCCAUCACGGACCUGGCCAGCGGCAAACUGAAACACCGAAUCAGCCACCAUCGCGGCCCUGUGACCGGGAUCCUGGUGGCCGGAGCGUGCGAUGUCCUGAUCUCGGGCAGCCACGACCGAACCAUCUGCGUGUGGAACCUUGAGAACUUUGCGCUGCUGAACACCAUGCAAAUGCUGAGCCCCGUCCUGCGCAUCGACAUCUCAUGGAACUCGGUAUUCCUCCUGGCCCUGUGCGAGGACAAUGCCCUCUAUGUGCGCACUCUGGCCACGGGCAAGGAGCUGCACACGCUCAAGGGCCACAAGUCAAAGAUACGGACCAUUUCCAUUGGCAAGGACAGUCAGCGCUGCGUGGUGGGAUGCGAUGAUACGCGAGCCCUGAUCUACGACAUGCACUCCGGCAAGCUGGUGCGCUCCAUGCCGCCCAACCCGGGACCGGUGACCGCCGUCUAUGCGAUGGAGAACGACGACUUCCUGGUCACGGUGGGCGGCAACAAGAUCACGUUCUACUCGUUCCGCAACGAGGAGCUCUACGUGAACCCGUACUCCCGCAACCCGCGCCGCAAGCGCAGUCUGAAGCGGCACGCCCAGGCCCAGCGGUCGCCCUCGACGACCCUGCCACCGAUCACGUGCUUCGACCUCUCCCGCGACUCGCAGCUGAUGGCCAUCGCCUCGGGCCGCAGCGUGCACCUGAUGCGCAUCAACACGCCGGAGUACCAGUGCAGCCUGGAGGGGCACGCGGGCGUGGUCAACUGCCUGAAGUUCGCGCCCAACGGAGAGUUCCUCACCACGGGAUCCGACGAUCGGCUCGUCCAGGUGUGGAACCUGGCGGCCACCGAGACCAUUAACACCUUCAAGGGGCAUGCGGCGCCGGUGAUCAAGGUGGUGGUGCUGAUGGACUCGCUGCGGGUGAUCUCCACGGACCGGGACUCGCUGCUGCUCGUGUGGAUGGCCAGCUCGGGCAACCUGCUGCAGACCAUCCAGGGACCCUACAAGAGCCUGGUGGUGACCAACAACAUGCGCUUCGCCGCCUCCAGCAACGGGGACAACACUCUGAAGAUCUGGUCCCUCACCCAGGAGGACGAGAAGUACUCGGUCUCGCACUCGGACGAGAUCACCUGCUUCGAGAUCAGCGCCGACAGCAUGCACAUCAUCACGGGCUCCCGGGACAUGUCGCUGAAGGUGUGGCAGUCCACGGGCGGCAAGCUCAGCCAGGUGCUGGUCGGGCACAGCGACGCUGUGACCUGUGUGGCUGUCUCGGUGACCAACAAGACGCAGGUCCUCUCCGGCUCCAAGGACACGAACCUCAUCCUGUGGGACCUGCUCACUGGCGAGGAGGUUCACACGCUGGCCGGACACUUGGGUCCAGUGAUCGGAGUGAAGGUUUCGGCAGAUGGCUCCACGGCUGUGUCGGGCAGCGAUGACAAGACCUUGAUCGUGUGGGAGACGAAGCGCGGCCUGGCCCUGACCUCGCUGCAGAUGCACGUGCCCUUCACCCACUUCGACAUCAGCCUGGAGGUGUCGCGGGUCCUGGUCCAAUUGGUGGACAGCUACAACCUCCCGGUGAUCUGUCUGCACAACACCCCGGCGCAGUAUGUAAAGCUGCCCACGUACUCGGGACCCACCAAGGAUGUGGAUGAUCUCCGGCCGCAGGGCCCGAAGCGCCAGAUGAAGCGCCUGCUGAAGAAGGAGGUCUCCCUGGACACGUACACUUGGCAGAAGAAGUACGGCCACCUGACCUCGUCGGUCAUGAUGGCCCAGGUUGACGAGCGCCUGAAGCGACGCUUCAGCGUCUCGGCCAGCAUGGAGGAGAUCUCGAAGAUCGCCGAGAACAAGACAGGGGCCUCCAAUGCCAACAUCGGCCCCGAGCAGGCCGCUCUGGCCCAGUCGCAGCACUUCGACCAGCUGGAGGCGCUGUGGAACAAGCGGUCUCCGCCCCGACGCCGCCACAACGCGGGUCUGUCGAGGCAGACAUCGCUGGUGGAGGACCGGCUCGAGUCGUCGGACGACGACGAGUACCAGGACGAGCGCGCAGCCAACGCCCACAGUUCGAAAACCAGUUCCCGCAGCUCCCUGCACCCAUAGACAACUGUGAAAUGUGAACUGUGAACUGUGACCGCAGUAGCAGAGCAUCGUACGGCUGGCAGGCACCAACCCAACAGCUACAUAUGAGUCGAUAAAUAUUACAAAAAACCUAAACUAAACGAUAAAACAUGUUUACUCACUAACGCACAUACUCGUACCUAUGCAUAGAUCUACAAUUACAAUUACAAUUGCAAAGCAGAAAUGUACCCCCUCUCGAUUGGCAUUUCACUACCUAGACCUAGACCUAGACCUUCAGCAAGCACCUCCAAAAAAAACGGCACGGCACUGUCCAAAUUGACGAACCGACCCGAUUCGGCAAAAUGUAGAAUAUUUUGUGAUUUUGUUUUCUGUUUUUAGACGACUUCGACGAUUUCUUUUAGGGGAAACCCAUUAUACCAGAUAAGAUACUCGUACUCCUGCAUAGGAGACACGAACACAUACUUUCGAACAUGUACCUCAGGCAAAUGCUGAACCACUUUUGAGAAUUCUACAUGCAACUUGCAAUAUAUUGUAGUACAGAAAAACCAAAACAGUUUAUCCAAUAUCAGAGUUAUAACAAUAAUAUUAACCAAAUAACGACACAAGAGUUGAUUUGCACUAAGCAGACUGCACCUCCAAAAGCUGGAUCCGAAAACCAAUCAAAUCACUUCGCUUCAGGAGGAGGAGGAUACCACAAGGGAUAAGGCCUGAGCCGGCAGCAAUUACACCUCUACAAUUAAGCAAUUAAGACACAUUAAGAAACAUUCCAGAAGUUUCCCGAAUCAAGCAAGCAAUAAGCAGCGUAACGUAACCAAACCAAGCGCCACAAUUAGCCGCCAUCUUCCCUCGAGUCGAGCUUGGACUGGAGAUCCCUCCCAUUUGUGUGUAGAUGAACGAUAUUUAAUCAGAUAAACCACCGUCUCAGACUUUGUAGGAAUUAUAGCAUUAAGUGAGCCAAUUUGGACAUUUUAUUGUUGUUGAGUGUUUUAUGAACUAGUACACUGCAUCUGCAUCUGCAUUUGCAUCUGCAUCUACAUAAUUAUAUAGUACCACUUAGGAAUAACGUAGAAUCUCUUCAAACGAGGAGUGCAAACACACUCUCUCUGAGGGGCUAAAAGUGUAACUAUGCUUAAAAUGAAACCAAAUACAUACUCGUGCAUGCAAAAACACUAAUACGAGCACAAGCGAAAAAUAAACUGUCUAUAAUAAGCCCCACUUGAGUCCCAGCCGUGUAGGGCUCCCUCCACAGAGUACCCGAGCAGAGUGGAGUGCCCUCGGCCCCUGCGCCUGGGACUUGCACCUCCCUUGGAGAACUUCAAUAACUUUCUGACAAUCAGAGGUUCUGGCCUAGAACGAAAAAAUAUUGAUAUUUCUACACAGAUAUUUCUAUGCAUGCCACAAGUGAAACUUUGUUAAACUAAGAAAAAAACCUACAUACAUAUGUCUACGUUCUGCGUAGUGUAGUGUAGUGUAUUGUAGUGUAGUGUAGUGUAGUGUCCACCAGACGUAGCCGAGCAUCUCCCGAGGAACUGUGCAUCUGGACAUGGCUAUGGACUUGGAUAUACAUAGCAUAUGGAUAUGAUAGCACACAUACGCAUAAACCUAUAUGGAUCAAUGUACACACACACACACCGUCUAUGUCUAUUAAACCGAAAUAAAACUCUACUCAACUUUACUGCGAAACGGCAAAACACAA